rnacentral:rRNA from 1 species
AUUGAACGCUGGCGGCGGGCCUAACACAUGCAAGUCGAGCGGAUGAAGGGAGCUUGCUCCUGGAUUCAGCGGCGGACGGGUGAGUAAUGCCUAGGAAUCUGCCUGGUAGUGGGGGAUAACGUCCGGAAACGGGCGCUAAUACCGCAUACGUCCUGAGGGAGAAAGUGGGGGAUCUUCGGACCUCACGCUAUCAGAUGAGCCUAGGUCGGAUUAACUAGUUGGUGGGGUAAAGGCCUACCAAGGCGACGAUCCGUAACUGGUCUGAGAGGAUGAUCAGUCACACUGGAACUGAGACACGGUCCAGACUCCUACGGGAGGCAGCAGUGGGGAAUAUUGGACAAUGGGCGAAAGCCUGAUCCAGCCAUGCCGCGUGUGUGAAGAAGGUCUUCGGAUUGUAAAGCACUUUAAGUUGGGAGGAAGGGCAGUAAGUUAAUACCUUGCUGUUUUGACGUUACCAACAGAAUAAGCACCGGCUAACUUCGUG